UUCAAACCAAUAUCCACAAAAAAAUCACCCAAACAUCAUCAAAGGUUAUAUAUUCACCAAAAAUUGAUAUUUCAUCAUUAUUAUCAUAACAGGUUCCAAGUAUGAACCCAAAUGCCAGUCUUAAGCCUUCAGAAUAACAUCAUAACAUCGUUAAUUUCUCAAAAGGAUUAAAUUAAAUUAAAUAUAAUGAUUUUAAUUAAUUUAAUUUUAUUACGAAAAGU
rnacentral:lncRNA from 1 species